UUCUCUGAUGUUAGCGGCGGACGGGUGAGUAACACGUGGAUAACCUACCUAUAAGACUGGGAUAACUUCGGGAAACCGGAGCUAAUACCGGAUAAUAUUUUGAACCGCAGGGUUCAAAAGUGAAAGACGGUCUUGCUGUCACUUAUAGAUGGAUCCGCGCUGCAUUAGCUAGUUGGUAAGGUAACGGCUUACCAAGGCAACGAUGCAUAGCCGACCUGAGAGGGUGAUCGGCCACACUGGAACUGAGACACGGUCCAGACUCCUACGGGAGGCAGCAGUAGGGAAUCUUCCGCAAUGGGCGAAAGCCUGACGGAGCAACGCCGCGUGAGUGAUGAAGGUCUUCGGAUCGUAAAACUCUGUUAUUAGGGAAGAACAUAUGUGUAAGUAACUGUGCACAUCUUGACGGUACCUAAUCAGAAAGCCACGGCUAACUACGUGCCAGCAGCCGCGGUAAUACGUAGGUGGCAAGCGUUAUCCGGAAUUAUUGGGCGUAAAGCGCGCGUAGGCGGUUUUUUAAGUCUGAUGUGAAAGCCCACGGCUCAACCGUGGAGGGUCAUUGGAAACUGGAAAACUUGAGUGCAGAAGAGGAAAGUGGAAUUCCAUGUGUAGCGGUGAAAUGCGCAGAGAUAUGGAGGAACACCAGUGGCGAAGGCGACUUUCUGGUCUGUAACUGACGCUGAUGUGCGAAAGCGUGGGGAUCAAACAGGAUUAGAUACCCUGGUAGUCCACGCCGUAAACGAUGAGUGCUAAGUGUUAGGGGGUUUCCGCCCCUUAGUGCUGCAGCUAACGCA
rnacentral:rRNA from 1 species